AAUCAUUUUGACAAAACCAUAUUCAUCAAACCAAUUUGAAAAUAUUUUAAAAUAUGUAAACAUGUCAUUAAAAUCUAACAUUGUCCUUUGAAACCUUAUUUUGCUCAUAUCAAGCCAUAUAACACACAUAUAUUAUGUUUCUGAACUCCGUUGUAAAUUAAUUUUUAACUUGGAUACUUCUAGAAUUACUACUUGAAAUAUAACAAUACUACUUAAAAGAAAAAAAAUGUAAAGUAACACGUUAGUUCUGCCUAGACUUAAUUAUACUUAAACGCUGAGGACAUAUAGUAUGGUGGAUUGAAUAAAACUAUAGUAUAGCUUCGAUGCGAAACUGAGAAGGUCGCGUACGUUAUAUUUGGCCGUGUAAUCAGAAAACUGCACUGUUGCUGUCAUGGUGAACGCUACACACUACAAUUUAAUAAUCGUUCCCUAUAUGAAACAUACACUGGCCAUCACUGUCAAUACCUGUAUAAUU